CCAGCUGGGAUCUCAGGGCUUCCUUUCCUGUCCUCCUCCAGGAUGGGGUCAACCACCGUCCUCGCCCUUCUCAUGGCUGUUCUCCAAGGUGUCUGUGCUGAGGUGCAGCUGGUGCAGUCUGGAGCAGAGGUGAAAAGGCCCGGGGAGUCGGUGAAGAUCUCCUGUAGGGCUUCUGGAUACAGCUUUAACAACCACUGGAUGAGCUGGGUGCGACAGAUGCCUGGGAAAGGCCUGGAGUGGAUGGGGAUGAUCUAUCCUGGUGACUCUGAUACCAGAUACAGCCCGUCCUUCCAAGGCCACGUCACCAUCUCAGCCGACAAGUCCAGCAACACCGCCUACCUGCAGUGGAGCAGCCUGAAGGCCUCGGACGCUGCCAUGUAUUACUGUGCGAGAGACACAGUGUGAGAAACCAGCACUGGGCCCAUCUAAAACCCUCCACAGAGCAGGUGCAGAGGGAGCUGCCAGAGACACCCUCCCCAGGGCCCUCUCCAUUCCCCCCAGGGAGGAAUCGCUGGCUGUUUGUAUCCUCAGGAGCGAGAACCAGAGAACAGCAUGGGAGGAUUCCCAGCCCCUACGGCAACUGGAUGGGGGACCUCUCCUGGGAGUGGAUUCUCUGAGGGGCUCCCACUGUGUGUUCUAAAAGGUUGUUCAUGGCUUAUAUUACACAGUUAACAUCAAAAGCCUGCCCAAUAGGCAGCUGUCAAAUAUGACAGUCUUUUAAUUCAUGAAGAUUUUACAGUUAACCAUUGCUGGCUUGCUCUUCUCCCUCCUGUCCUCUCUCACACCCGCCUUUUAUUUCCUGCUCAAUUUUCCAGAAUCGUUUAAUCCCUUUGUGAACUAUUAGUCGGUCCUUUUUCUUUUUGGUUGUUUUUGUUGUCGUUUCCUCUCAAUAAUGUGUAAUGAACAGUUCAUUUUGUGCCAUUUCAAGUUUUUGGGUAUAAUAAGGACUUCUUUCAUGAAAAUUUGAUAAAUU